AUUUAAUCAUCUCGCAUCAUCACAUGGAAGAAGGUCGACUUUCCACGCAGCAGUCGGAGUGACCCUUUUAAACAUAAGCCAGAUCACGCUGCUGCGCUGCUCAGAACCGUCCGUGGACUCCUACCUCGUGCAAUAGCCACUGGGCACUAGUGGCCUGGCGAUUACCUCUCUGACAUCAUCUUCUACUUUGGUGUAUAUUUAACAUAUUUCCAUAUUAAUAAUUAAAAAAAAGAAGGAAAGGACCCAAUUUUAUUGAGUUAAUUUACAUGAGGACGCAAUUCUGAAAACACAGUGCAAGCAUGGUUGUUUUCUCUCGGGAAAGAUUUUGUUUUCAGCAUCCAUGUCUUCACACGGCACUUGAGCAAGGUGGCGGGGCCCAUUUCCUUUGCACAUUGUAUUCUCCUUGUACUCUGGGUUUUUGAAUCAUUAACCUCAUUGGCUGGCACUUACAGUACAUGCAAAGCUGCUGGUGGCUCACGUGCAGAAACUUGAUGAAGC
rnacentral:lncRNA from 1 species